GACGAACGCUGGCGGCGUGCUUAACACAUGCAAGUCGAACGGAAAGGCCCUGCUUUUGUGGGGUGCUCGAGUGGCGAAAGGGUGAGUAACACGUGAGUAACCUGCCCUUUACUUUGGGAUAACUUCAUGAAACUGGGGCUAAUACCGGAUAUGAGCUCCUGCUACAUGGUUUUUGUUGUAAAAUUUCGGCGUUUGGGGAUUGACUCGGGGCUUAGCAGCUUGUUGGUUGGGUAGUGGCGUACCAAGGCUUUGACGGGUAGCCGGAAUGAGAGGGUGACCGGCCACAUUGGGAGUGAGAUACGGCCCAGAGUGCUACGGGGGGCAGCAGUGGGGAAUAUUGCACAAUGGGCGGAAGCCUGAUGCAGCAACGCCGCGUGCGGGAUGACGGCCUUCGGGUUGUAACCCGCUUUAGACUGUGAAGAAGAGUGAGUGACGGUAAUGGGUAAAGAAGCACCGGCUAACUACGUG
rnacentral:rRNA from 1 species